rnacentral:tRNA from 2 species
AGUUAAUUAACUUUAAAGUAUAUAUUUUGAAAAUAUAAUUUAAGAAAAUAAAUUUUCUAUUAACUU